AGAGUUAGGGCUCUGUUUCACUGGGACCAAAAUUAGUGUUACAACAGGUUGUUUACACGGGAAGCACAGGGCUGCGUUGACGACUCGCCGGUUGGUUGUCUAACGCGCUCAAAAUACGUUUUUAAGCAGAGCCAACGUGUUUAUCUGGCCUACAUUUUAACUUUAAAUAUUUAUGUUCAUUCAUAUUAGUCUUAUAGCAAAUGUUUGUGUAUGUUUAAGGUUAGCUAUGCGCUGACACAUUACAACAGACAGGAUGUUGGUCGGCUACAGCAGCAGCUCGGAGGAGGAAAGUGAGGAGGCAUCGGCGACUGAUGAAAACAGAAGUUUUUCUCGAAAGUGUCAAGAGGAAGAGGAGGGUAACCAUGGCAGCCCAGCGAGGAAGAAACACAAAAUUGAAGAACAGGCUCCUAAAACAAGGCUGCCUCUUCCUGUCUGCCUGUUGGCCAUGUUUCCAGAUGAAGUGGCCGCAGAGACUGAAGACAGCUCUCUUCAUGGUGGACGCAUCCGCUCCUUCAAACAUGAGAGAGGCAACUGGGCCAGCUACGUUUAUUUACCAUACCAUCCCGAGGAAGAUUUCAGGGAGUUGUUGGAUGAGCUGCUCUUGUUUGCCAAUGCCCAUGGUGCAGUUUUGACCCCGCAGGAGGAGUUUCACCUCAGCUUGUCUCAGACGGUGGUGCUCAGACACCACUGGAUCCAACCCUUCACCCAAAGCCUGAAGGCAGGUCUGAUGCACUCUAAGAGGUUUCUGUGCACAGCAGGGAGACUGAGGGUCUACUGUAACGCUGAGAGGACCAGGACGUUUCUAGGGAUGGAGGUGUGUACUGGGCAUGCUCAGCUGCUGGACCUGGUCCAUGAUGUGGACAAAACGAUGACGGAGUUUCACCUGGACACUUUUUAUAAGGAUCCUUCUUUCCACGUGAGUCUGGCCUGGUGUGCUGGAGACGUGACGGGACAGAUGAAGGAGGAGUGCAUUCAGGGGAUGCAGGUGCACUGACACCACUCUGUGCUUGUUUACAUCUUAAAUCAUUUCAAUGUUCUGCCCAUAUAUACUAGUCUGGUUGAUAACCAUGAAGAAGGACCCUUUGUGCUGCAGUUGGACUGCGAGGAGCUGCGCUGCAGAACAGGAAAUAAAACCUUCCGCUUCCCUCUGAAGCCCUGAAAGUGGAUACAAGAAUACCCUGACCUCUUAAGAUUGACAGCUGUUUUGUUCUGACACACACUAAUGAGCUAAGAAAAUGUUUUAGUGUUGACACUGCUGCCGGAUAUGGUGCCGGUCCAAACAAAGACAAUCAAGGCUCCCCUUGUAUUUUUGAUGGCUGACCCAGAAGAGCUUCUGCCAACAAAUGUGAUGGGAUUUUCCAUUAGAUUUUGGAACAUUUCAGAAAAUAAGCUCUGUGGCAAGCACACCUUUUAGAAUACGUACACAUUUUGUUCAGCAGGAUAAUCUCCACCACAUGAAAUUUUAAGAAUAUAUGCAAUUGCCAGAACUAAAAAUCUAACGUAAGGCUAUAAGGGAACACCAGCGCUAAGCUAAAGGCUCUUUAGUUCCUUGUUAGCAACCGAUGUUUUUAUGAUUCAUAGAAGUUUCGGAAAUUCAGGAGCAGAGUGAUUACUGACUGAUUUUUUGCCGUGUAUCAAAACGUAUCUCAGCUUGUGUUGUGACCUUUUUUCAGGCAUCUCACCAAAAACAUGUUAAAAAGCGUUGACUUUGAGACGAGGUAACUUGAAGUGCUAAAAUGCUUACUAAUUUCCGUGUUUUGGGAUUCAUUCCUGCACCAUUCUAUGGUUUUUAAAAAUAUUUAUAGAUAAAGUUCCAUCUGGUUUUCUACUUAUUUGUUUUGUAUGCUAAUGCUACGAGUUGUGUUCAGAGAGGUUAAAAUAUGCCCGAAAAUAAUAUUUUAAAGAAUUGUGACGCAUGUGAGAAGCCUCACAUUCAAAGGGGUGAAGCCUCAAUAAAAGGAAGUUGUGGGCUUUGUCAGUAUUGUAACCUCAAUAGUGGUUCCCACACAGACAUGAACACAGAGGAGGAAAGGUUAGGAGGACUGAACGUCAUCACUGACAAUUUUCUCUGACUGCUCCUAGAGCACAAAAAGAUAAUUCAAUGUGAUAUUUGAAAUGUUUUACUUUAUAGAACACCAAGUUGGACACAUUUAUCACACAUGAUAGUUCACAGCAGAGUAUCAUUGGUGUGGCCCUCAGAGGGCUGCAUGGCACAGAACAAUCACUGGGGCCAGAGAGACUCUGAUGGCUGGUCCACAGGGACAAAACUCUGCACUGGAACUUUAAAAAUAGAGAAAUACAAAUGAAACAGUAAAUAAAAGAUCUAAAAUCUGA